AACGAACGCUGGCGGCAUGCCUAACACAUGCAAGUCGAACGAGACCUUCGGGUCUAGUGGCGCCCGGGUUCGUAACGCGUGGGAACCUGCCCUUAGGUUCGGAAUACCUCCCCGAAAGGGGUGCUAAUACCGGAUAAUGUCUUCGGACCAAAGAUUUAUCGCCUUUGGAUGGGCCCGCGUUGGAUUAGCUAGUUGGUAGGGUAAAAGCCUACCAAGGCGACGAUCCAUAGCUGGUCUGAGAGGAUGAUCAGCCACACUGGGACUGAGACACGGCCCAGACUCCUACGGGAGGCAGGAGUGGGGAAUAGUGGAAAAUGGGCGAAAGCCUGAUCCAGCAAUGCCGCGUGAGUGAUGAAGGCAUUAGGGUUGUAAAGCUCUUUUAACCGGGAUGAUAAUGACAGUACCGGGAGAAUAAGCUCCGGCUAACUCCGUG
rnacentral:rRNA from 1 species